CACCGCCCGUCACAUCAUGAAAGCCGGUCGUACCCGAAGUCAAUGUGCUAACCGCAAGGGGGCAGUUGCCGAAGGUAUGGCUGGUGAUUGGGAUG
rnacentral:rRNA from 1 species